rnacentral:rRNA from 1 species
CCUACGGGAGGCAGCAGUGGGGAAUAUUGGACAAUGGGCGAAAGCCUGAUCCAGCAAUGCCGCGUGAGUGAUGAAGGCCUUAGGGUUGUAAAGCUCUUUUACCAGGGAUGAUAAUGACAGUACCUGGAGAAUAAGCUCCGGCUAACUCCGUGCCAGCAGCCGCGGUAAUACGGAGGGAGCUAGCGUUGUUCGGAAUUACUGGGCGUAAAGCGUACGUAGGCGGUUAUUCAAGUCAGAGGUGAAAGCCUGGAGCUCAACUCCAGAACUGCCUUUGAAACUAGAUAGCUAGAAUCUUGGAGAGGUGAGUGGAAUUCCGAGUGUAGAGGUGAAAUUCGUAGAUAUUCGGAAGAACACCAGUGGCGAAGGCGACUCACUGGACAAGUAUUGACGCUGAGGUACGAAAGCGUGGGGAGCAAACAGGAUUAGAUACCCUGGUAGUCCACGCCGUAAACGAUGAUAACUAGCUGUUCGGGCUCUACGAGCUUGAGUGGCGCAGCUAACGCAUUAAGUUAUCCGCCUGGGGGAGGUACGGUCGCGAGAAUUAAACUUAAAGUAAGUAGUAGACGNGAGAGAGCGACGACGACGACGACGGAGGAGGAG